rnacentral:tRNA from 2 species
AGUGGUAGUUCAGUUGGUUAGAAUACCGGCCUGUCACGCCGGGGGUCGCGGGUUCGAGUCCCGUCCACU